rnacentral:rRNA from 1 species
GAUGAACGCUGGCGGCGUGCCUAAUACAUGCAAGUCGUACGGAAAGGCCCUUCGGGGUACUCGAGUGGCGGACGGCUGAGUAACGCGUGGGAACGUGCCCCAAAGUGAGGGAUAACGCACCGAAAGGUGUGCUAAUACCGCAGAUGGUCUUCGGAUUAAAGCUUCGGCGCUUUGGGAGCGGCCCGCGUACGAUUAGAUAGUUGGUGAGGUAAUGGCUCACCAAGUCGACGAUCGUUAGCUGGUCUGAGAGGAUGAUCAGCCAGACUGGGACUGAGACACGGCCCAGACUCCUACAGGAGGCAGCAGUAAGGAAUCUUCCACAAUGGGGGCAACCCUGAUGGAGCAACGCCGCGUGCAGGAUGAAGGUUUUCGGAUCGUAAACUGCUUUUAUAAGUGAGGAAUAUGACGGUAACUUAUGAAUAAGGAUCGGCUAACUACGUGCCAGCCGCCGCGGUAA